rnacentral:rRNA from 1 species
AUUGAACGCUGGCGGCAGGCCUAACACAUGCAAGUCGAGCGGAUGAAGGGAGCUUGCUCCUGGAUUCAGCGGCGGACGGGUGAGUAAUGCCUAGGAAUCUGCCUGGUAGUGGGGGAUAACGUCCGGAAUCGGGCGCUAAUACCGCAUACGUCCUGAGGGAGAAAGUGGGGGAUCUUCGGACCUCACGCUAUCAGAUGAGCCUAGGUCGGAUUAGCUAGUUGGUGGGGUAAAGGCCUACCAAGGCGACGAUCCGUAACUGGUCUGAGAGGAUGAUCAGUCACACUGGAACUGAGACACGGUCCAGACUCCUACGGGAGGCAGCAGUGGGGAAUAUUGGACAAUGGGCGAAAGCCUGAUCCAGCCAUGCCGCGUGUGUGAAGAAGGUCUUCGGAUUGUAAAGCACUUUAAGUUGGGAGGAAGGGCAGUAAGUUAAUACCUUGCUGUUUUGACGUUACCAACAGAAUAAGCACCGGCUAACUUCGUG